UCGAUCUGCCUCGGCGUCGUUUGGAUCGUUGCGGCGACGACUUCGUCGGUUUUCAGCUCCGGCACCUACAUCCUGAAGGAGUACAAUCUCGUGUCUGGAUGGCGACGGACAUGUUGACCAUAUACCUGCACUAUGAAGAUACAAAUCAGGAAGCCAAAAUUUUACAAUGAUCCAUGAUGAGGCGUCAUGUCUCGUAUUAUGACUUAAUCUUGAUGAUCGAGGAAGUUGGCUUUCAGGCAAUUGACUUUCUGUACUAUGAAAAAAAAACCGUCUAGGCAGCUCCUACUUAGUUCACAUUUACGAUCCCUUUCUGUACCUUGUUAUUGAUUCUGUGCUAGAGGUGAGGGAAACGAGGGAUCUUACGGGUGAAUCUGUUUCAAGACCGAACCAGCAAGGGACUAGAACUGCACACCCACACCUAGCUCGCUCAAAAAGAAGGCGCACUUCUUUCAUCAAGGUAAAGAUUCACCAAGGAGCAUGGUUUACUGCACCCAAAUUCCCAACCCAAACCACAUUAUGAUGCCUGCUUGAAAAAUGGAUUUUGUUACAAAUUUUGCUCAAUCUGCUAUAUGCAAGUAAAGGAUACAUUUAACCAAGCAUGAGCAAGCGAGGUGACCUUGGGCGUUAGACUUUGUUGCCAGGUCUAGUUUAUUUAGUUUUUUAGGGCACC